UACGUAGGGGGCAAGCGUUGUCCGGAUUUAUUGGGCGUAAAGAGCGUGUAGGCGGUUUGGUAGGUCCGCUGUGAAAACUCGAGGCUCAACCUCGAGACGCCGGUGGAAACCAUCAGACUAGAGUCCGGAAGAGGAGAGUGGAAUUCCUGGUGUAGCGGUGAAAUGCGCAGAUAUCAGGAAGAACACCCGUGGCUAAGGCGGCUCUCUGGGCAUGUCCUGACGCUGAGGAGCGAAAGUGUGGGGAGCGAACAGG
rnacentral:rRNA from 1 species